rnacentral:rRNA from 1 species
UACAGAGGGGGCAAGCGUUAUUCGGAAUUAUUGGGCGUAAAGGGCUCGUAGGCGGCCAACUAAGUCAGACGUGAAAUCCCCAGGCUCAACCUGGGAACUGCGUCUGAUACUGGAUGGCUUGAGUUUGGGAGAGGGACGCGGAAUUCCAGGUGUAGCGGUGAAAUGCGUAGAUAUCUGGAGGAACACCGGUGGCGAAGGCGGCGUCCUGGACCAACACUGACACUGAUGAGCGAAAGCCAGGGGAGCAAACGGG